UGGGGAAUUUUGGACAAUGGGGGCAACCCUGAUCCAGCAAUGCCGCGUGUGUGAAGAAGGCCUUCGGGUUGUAAAGCACUUUUGUCCGGGAAGAAAUCGCACCUGAUAAUACCGGGUGUGGAUGACGGUACCGGAAGAAUAAGGACCGGCUAACUACGUGCCAGCAGCCGCGGUAAUACGUAGGGUCCAAGCGUUAAUCGGAAUUACUGGGCGUAAAGCGUGCGCAGGCGGUUGUGCAAGACCGAUGUGAAAUCCCCGGGCUUAACCUGGGAAUUGCAUUGGUGACUGCACGGCUAGAGUGUGUCAGAGGGGGGUAGAAUUCCACGUGUAGCAGUGAAAUGCGUAGAGAUGUGGAGGAAUACAGAUGGCGAAGGCGGCCCCCUGGGAUAACACUGACGCUCAUGCACGAAAGCGUGGGGAGCAAACAGG
rnacentral:rRNA from 1 species